rnacentral:rRNA from 1 species
AGCAGCCGCGGUAAUUCCAGCUCCAAUAGCGUAUAUUAAAGUUGUUGCAGUUAAAAAGCUCGUAGUUGAAUUUUGGAUCUGACCGAACGGUCCACUUUUGUGAGUACUGUUUGUGUCGGGUCUAUCCUUCUGGUGAGCUGGUAUGCCCUUUAUUGGGUGUGUCAGGGAACCAGGACCAUUACCUUGAAAAAAUUAGAGUGUUUAAAGCGGGCAUAAGCUUGAAUAGAUUAGCAUGGAAUAAUAGAAUAGGACGUUGUGGUUCUAUUUUGUUGGUUUCUAGGACCACCGUAAUGAUUAAUAGGGAUAGUUGGGGGCAUUAGUAUUCAAUUGUCAGAGGUGAAAUUCUUGGAUUUAUUGAAGACUAACUACUGCGAAAGCAUUUGCCAAGGAUGUUUUCAUUAAUCAAGAACGAAAGUUAGGGGAUCGAAGACGAUCAGAUACCGUCGUAGUCUUAACCAUAAACUAUGCCGACUAGGAAUCGGGCGAAGUUAUUUUAAUGACUCGCUCGGCGCCUUAUGGG